rnacentral:lncRNA from 1 species
CUUACUGAUGAACAGCAAGGCUUUUGGAGAUACUUUUAUAACCCUUUCCAGCUUUAUGCAAGUCAACAAUUCCUAAUCGUAGGUCUUCUGAGAGCUCUUUUGUGCGAGGCAUCAUUCACAUCAGGCAAUGCUUCUUGUGAAAAGCAAACCUAGAACUGGUCUGUGUUUUAUAGGGCAGGGCAGCUGUACCAACACCUCCAGUCUCAUCUCAUUGAAUGGACUCCAGUUGGCUGACAUCUCACUCCAAUUAGCUCUUGGAGGUGUCAUUAGUCUAGGGGUUCACAUACUUUUUCCACCUGCACUGUGAAUGUUUACAUGGUGUGUUCAAUAAAAACAUGGCAACAUUUCAUUCUUUGUGUGUUAUUAGUUUU